rnacentral:rRNA from 1 species
AUUGAACGCUGGCGGCAGGCCUAACACAUGCAAGUCGAACGAGUGGCGGACGGGUGAGUACUGUCUGGGAAACUGCCUGAUGGAGGGGGAUAACUACUGGAAACGGUAGCUAAUACCGCAUAACAUCGGAUUUGCCCAGAUGGGAUUGGCUAGUAGGUGGGGUAACGGCUCACCUGGGCGACGAUCCCUAGCUGGUCGGCGAGGAUGACCAGCCACACUGGGACUGAGACACGGUCCAGACGCCUACGGGAGGCAGCAGGGGGGAAUAUUGCAGAAGGGGCGGAAGCCUGAUGCAGCCAUGCCGCGUGGAUGAAGAAGGCCUUCGGGUUGUAAAGUACUGUCAGCGGGGAGGCGUUACCCGCAGAAGAAGCACCGGCUAACUCCGUGCCAGCAGCCGCGGUAAUAC